AUGCCUAUUCAGCUUAUUUACGAAACAUUUUUGGUAUCUUCAGCAACGCCGUUAUGAAACUCAAAGUACCCUUGGUUUGCACAGCCCUCAACACUAUCCAGGUGUUUCCUCCAAGUGCUUCAACGAAGUCUCUUCUGUGAUCUAUUUCCUAUCAAGAAAAUUUUGGCGUGUCAUACAUAUCAUCAGGGUCUACCGGUUUAUUAGCUCCUUUGCUCUAAUCCAGAGCCUGAUCGUUCAAAAAUGGUGCAGGGGUAAACUUACCCUUAUGAUGCUGCAUGAUAUACUUCCUCGUCUCAUUCAUAUUAUGGUCAAACUCAGAAAGCAGCUCACAUCUCCUUAUCAUAACAUCUUCGUUCCUGAUGGCACCACCACAAACUGCAGCCUGGGCAACAUGGAAUCGAGAAACUCGGUUGAUCAGCAUCAUAUCAAAUGGUGUCGUGGUACUUCCUUCUUCCAUGUAUGAUGCAAUUGUAACCCGUUCCAUCUGCGGCCUUCCAAAGAGAAGUCCCCUCAAUUCAGUCUCAUACCCAUGAUAAUUGAAAUGGAUCGGACGUUCGCUGGUGAAGAAAGCGUCGAAUGCUUCGUCUGACAGGGCAUGCGGGUGACUGGUCUCCCUGCUAAGAAUCAUUAAAUCCGUGACAUUAACUACACGCACGCGCAAUUCUGGAACCCGUUCCCUGAGUAGGGCGGCUGCUCGGACGACUUCGAAUGUGAGUUCUGUACCGACGCCAACAAGCACCACAUCCGGGUCUUUUCCUUCAUCGGUAGACGCGAAUUUCCACACCGAACCACCCGCGCGACAGUGGCUUUCAGCUUCAUCUGGACCUAAAAAUACAGGUGUGGGCUGCUUGGACCCAACCAUGAGAUUGAUACAGUUCUUGGACUUCAAGCAAUGGUUUAACGUGGAAAGGAAUGUGUUUGCGUCCGGUGGUAAAUAAACGCGGGCUGCGUUUGGUUUCAGAUUCAACACUGCUGAAAUGAACGAUGGAUUUUGAUGUGAGAAUCCAUUGUGCUCUUGUCGAGUCCAUGUGCUUGUCUCGAUGUAAUUGAUACUGGCAAUAUCACGGCGCCACACGGUCUCUCUGCCCUGCACAAAUAAUCAGAGGCAUCUCCGCAACGUAUAUCUGGAUUUAUAAUAGGAAGAAAUUGAGCCUUACCAUUUUGGCGAACUUGGAAAAUUGAACCAUCAUUGUAUGUAUAAUGCCGAGGAAACUCUCAUAUGAAGGGAAAAUGCCCACUCGACCUGUCAAUGUAUACCCUUGCAAAAACCCCUGGCACAUGUGUUCGCUCAAUACUUCAAUUACACGACCACCCUGUGCAUUAGCAAACUGGUCCCAUUGGAAGUUUCUUCCCGUGUGUGCUAGUGCGCCACCAAGUUUAUUACUCUCCAACUCAUCUGGGGAAAACAGCCUAACGGAGUGAGGGUUAUCGACGAAAACUUGGUCAAUGAACUCGGCGAUAAUCUCCAUAGAGCUCUCCUGCUUGCCCUUCUCGAUAUGGAAUCCCUUCCAGUCCGGCAGUUUGAGUGUCCUGUAUGAUUCAUAAACAUCACUUCGCUGCCCUAGCUUUUUCAAGUCAUUUCGAGGGAUGAUAGCCUUAAUGUCGUCUAUCACAUCACCGCCUUCUGUAAAAAGCUCAUGUGGUUUGUACGACAUCAACCAUUCGCUUAGCACCUUCAAUUCUUCCUUGUCCUUUUUGGCCGCUGGAAGAGGGACUUGAUGAGCUUUGAAAGAACCUUCGAUAGUUUGGCCAUGAAUUUGUUUUGGACCAGUCCAUCCCUGAACCAUAUACGUUAACAUCGACAAGACAUAGUAUAUUGCCAUUUGGGCACUAACCUUAGGCGUUCGCAAAAUCAAAAUAGGCCAACGCGGUUUCAUAAUCGGGUUUCCGGAGCGAGCAGCCUGUUGUAUUUUGCGGAUUUCCUCCAACGCCCAUUCUAGUGCUCCAUGAAAAUCGACGUUAACAUGCUCCAAAUCGUCGAUGAUUCGUGGUUGAUAACCGUAUCCCACGAACAAAGCGAUGAGUUCGCGAUCAUCCAUACAACCGAAUAUGGUUCGUUCACUGAUUUUAAAUCCAUUGAGGUGGAGAAUGGGCAGCACCGCCCCCGAUUCUGCAGGGUCAAUAUAUUUGAAUCCGUGCCAGGACCUUUCAGGAUUCUGCUUCGCCAUCACCGAUAAUGCAUGUGACUAUCAAAUCCGACUUGUCCAUGACCGCCCCAAACGAAACGGAUAAAGCAUAUCCCAAUUCGCCGCCUUCGUGGAUUGCACCUGGAGUUUCGGCGUUGAUAUGACUGUCGGAAAUGUCAACGUCGCCGCACAAUCAAACGGCAUCAAGGAAUUUUCAGAUAGAUAGAGAUAUCCCCAACCUUGGAAAUCCACCCGUGGUACUGAACGUAGUGAUCAGCUUCGUAAGGCCUUUCGUGUCUCGACUAUAUCCUGGAUAGAAUUUCUCCAGAGAACCUUCCAUCCAGAGCGCAGCUAGGAUUCCUGGUGCGCCAUGACCCGGUCCCACGACAUAUAUCAUGUCAAGGUCAUGCUUGCAAAUCAAGUAAUUCAGGUGGGAAUAGACGAAGGUCAGCCCUGGGCAGGUUCCCCAAUGGCCUUUUCAUGUAUUUGUAAGCCAGAGUAUAAUUGCUUGCAAAAGAGCAUGAAUCAAAAACGCACCUAAUAAUCUCGGUUUAAUAUCGUCAAAUUUCAACUCUCGCUUUAGGCAUGCAUUGUCCUGCAGGAAUAUCAUAGCUAUAUCGGGAUAUCAGCACAUAAUAUGAAAAGAUCAUAUCAAAAGAAUGUAUAAGGAGCUUGCCGGCAGCAAUAUAGUUCGCCGCACGCUGGAAUCUCUGCAGAGAAUCAACGACAUUCUGGUCUAGCGAUGUCCUUGCUAGCUGAACGGCCAGUUGGUCUAUUACCUCAGGUAGGUGAGACGGAAGCGGUUUUGGAUUGGGUUUAUCGAUGAUUUCCCCAGGCAUAUUUUUCUAUUUGUUUUCCAGAAUUUUCCAGAGGAAAAUAUAGAAAUGCAGCAACGGAACUAUAUUAGACGGAUCUAGGAGGCCGUACUGAUAUCUCCGUAUAGAUUAAUUGUAGCUAUUUCUGGACGUAGGACACAUCGAAAUUAAUGAGCAAUUCCCAC
rnacentral:sRNA from 1 species